UAAGCGGAGGAAAAGAAACUAACAAGGAUUCCCCUAGUAACGGCGAGUGAAGCGGGAAGAGCUCAAAUUUGUAAUCUGGCACCUUCGGUGUCCGAGUUGUAAUCUCGAGAAGUGUUUUCCGCGCCGGACCGCAUAUAAGUCUGUUGGAAUACAGCGUCAUAGUGGUGAGAACCCCGUAACUGAUGCGGAUGCCCGGUGCUUUGUGAUACACUUUCGAAGAGUCGAGUUGUUUGGGAAUGCAGCUCAAAUUGGGUGGUAAAUUCCAUCUAAAGCUAAAUAUUGGCGAGAGACCGAUAGCGAACAAGUACCGUGAGGGAAAGAUGAAAAGCACUUUGGAAAGAGAGUUAACAGUACGUGAAAUUGUUGGAAGGGAAACGCUUGAAGUCAGACUUGCUAUUUGGAGUUCAGCCGCAAGGUGUAUUCUUCGAUUUGCAGGCCAGCAUCAGUUUUCUGGGGUGGAAAAGGGUAUUGAGAAGGUAGCAGUUUCGGCUGUGUUAUAGCUCUUUGCUGGAUUCAUCCUGGGGGACUGAGGAACGCAGCACGCUUUUUGCAAGGCUCUCGGGCUUUUCGUGCUUAGGAUGCUGGUGGAAUGGCUUUAAACGACCCGUCUUGAAACACGGACCAAGGAGUCUAACAUGCUUGCGAGUGUUUGGGUGUUAAACCCGGACGCGCAAUGAAAGUGAAUGGAGGUGGGAUCCGCAAGGUGCACCAUCGACCGAUCUGGAUUUUCUAAGAUGGAUUUGAGUAAGAGCAAUUAUGUUGGGACCCGAAAGAUGGUGAACUAUUCCUGAAUAGGGCGAAGCCAGAGGAAACUCUGGUGGAGGCUCGUAGCGGUUCUGACGUGCAAAUCGAUCGUCAAAUUUGGGUAUAGGGGCGAAAGACUAAUCGAACCAUCUAGUAGCUGGUUCCUGCCGAAGUUUCCCUCAGGAUAGCAGAAACUCACAUCAGUUCUAUGAGGUAAAGCGAAUGAUUAGAGGCCUUGGGGUUGAAACAACCUUAACCUAUUCUCAAACUUUAAAUAUGUAGGAAGUCCUUGCUACUUAAUUGAGCGAGGACAUG
rnacentral:rRNA from 2 species